UACACAAUUUCUCCGUCUUUAUAAUUAAACAAAUACUUGAAUACACAUAAAUAGUGUUGUGCCGGUCCUUAUCUAGGAUUGGGGAGUCCAUUUCAGUCUUGUCCAGUAAAAUCCUUCAAAGAAGGGAACGUUGAUCAUGAGUUGCCCACCAUCUCUCAACAGACCUCAAACUGAUCCCAAGUUCCUCGGCAGUCAUCUUCUUGGAAAUUCCACCGAGUUAUUUGGUCAUGGCAGUCACCCUCAUCUCGGAUGGCAAUUUUUUCCCAAUUUGUCACUUGCACUCAGGAACAAUAAAUUAGAACCUUUAAUUUUUCAGAGGAUCUAUUUAUCAAAAAACAUUCCAAACAAGUGAGGAAAAUUAUUCUAUAAGCAUCAUUUUGUGGUAGCAGGAUCAUACCAAGCAACAUGGUAGAAAGAGUAUCUACAAUAAUAUGUUCAAUUUCUCCUCAUCAAAAGAUCUUAAGACUACGAAAGAACAGGAGUAAAAUGGUCAUCAACUGACAAAACUACUACUGUCCUUUUUAUUUCCAUCUUAUUACCAAAAUAUGUACAAUUUCGAUAUAAAUUUUUUUCGUUGUUGA
rnacentral:lncRNA from 1 species